rnacentral:lncRNA from 1 species
AUCAUUCUAUUUAUCAACUAUUUGUGGGCUCUCUUCUUCCCCUCUUAACACUUUCAGAUCUUUCAGAGGGGGAAGAGAUUCGAGGUUUCCUUUUAUUUUGUUGUAUGAUAUUCGAUCGUCGAUCGUCUCUUCCGCGUAGUCGGAUUUUGUUAUUUCGCUUGGCGAUUUUAGUGUUUUCGUAAGGCGAUUUUACAGUGUGUCUCGUGCCAAAUUCGAGUCUAUUCUUAAUGUUUUCUUCUUAUACUCGUUUUGGUCUUGAUGUAAUAAAGUUCCGCUCUUGUUUAGAUCGGAUUAAUCAUGCUUUUCACUCCGACUUCACUUUAAUCCCGUCGAAGUCCGAGUUGGAUUCCUUCUUUCACUCUAACCGCUUUCUAGGAGAAUCAGUCUUUGCUUUUAUUCAGCCAUUCGGUGUUGAGGUGAAGCAUCUCCGAUUGAAAGAAGAUUGGAGUAGUUGGAUUCUUUAAGUCGGCUUUGGAGUAGAUUCAGUAGAACUGGCGUUCUUGGAUCGGUCCGGUAAAGGAUCUUUCUUCCUCUUCGACUUAAGCAUCUUUGCGCUUAACUUCUGGUGAAUCGAGGUUUUUCCGUUUGGGCUUUCACGGAGUUGGUGGAAAGCAACCGCUGUUUCCGGUGAAGCUUGAAAAUUCGGCGCCGGUAGCUGUGCAGUCGUGCAUGAGAUCCCUGUCUCGCGAUGUUACACUUGGUAACACGUGUCUUCCACGAGGAAAUCGGUGGGACGCGCGGCAUUGAGAAAGCGAGAGUUUUUUAGAAGUUAAUCUGAUCUGUAAAUUUGGAUUGGGUUAAUAUGGGCUUAAAUUGUAAACAUAAUGGAAUUGAGCUUUUUCUAAGUUUCACCUUGUAACAGCCAUAAGACCUUUCAUUUUAAUGAAAGAAAGUUGACAAAAAAAAAAAUCAUUCUAUUUAUCACCGG